GCGAUAGCAUGGACAGUUAGCUUGUUUACAGUUGAUUCCAUUUGUUGGGAAGUCUGCUUCCAGGCUUAACCAUUAUAUAUACUCUUUU